ACCCAUGCAUGUUUAUUGAAUAUAAAGAAAAGACGAACAGCUCAGUAACUCUUAUUUGAUUUGAUGUAUUAGGACUCUAACUAUGUUAAAUUAUAGGUAACAAUAAUACAAUAAGAAUAAGAUCUAUCAGUUAGUUGUUAAGGUAAUGGCUUAACAAGACUAUGACGGAUAACGGUAUUACUUUGUAAUAUUCCGGAGAAGGAGCCUGAGAGAUUGCUACUAAGUCUAAGGAUUGCAGCAGGGGCGAAACUUGACCUAUGAUAUUAUAUUGAGGCAGUUAUGAGUAGUAUUUUAUAAUUAUUGUAGUAUUGUAAGUACAUAUUACAAGAUAAAUCGGAGGGCAAAUCGAGUGCCAGCAGCCGCGGUAAUACUUGUUCCGAUAGUGUGUAUGAUGAUUGAUGCAGUUAAAAAGUCUGUAGUUUAUUUAUAAUAAGCAUUGUAAGGUAUACUGUAUGGUUAGGAGAGAGAUGAAAUGUGAUAACCCUAACUGGAUGAACAGAAGCGAAAGCUGUAUACUUAAAUGUAUUAUUAGAACAAGGACGUAAGCUAGAGGAUCGAAGAUGAUUAGAUACCAUUGUAGUUCUAGCAGUAAACUAUGUUGAAUCAUAGAUAUAUUUUGAUAUAUAUUUAUGUAGAGAAAUUAAGAUUAUAUUGACUCUGGGGAUAGUAUGAUCGCAAGAUUGAAAAUUAAAGAAAUUGACGGAAGAAUACCACAAGGAGUGGAUUGUGCGGCUUAAUUUGACUCAACGCGGGGUAAUUUACCAGGUAUAACAUGAUAUAAUAUUUUAUCAUGAUAGUGGUGCAUGGCCGUUUCCAAUGGAUGCUGUGAAGUAAUGAUUAAUUUCAACAAGAUGUGAGACCCUCAUAUAGACAGAUGUAGUGAUACAUAUGAAGGAGAGGAUUAAAACAGGUCCGUUAUGCCCUAAGAUAAUCUGGGUUGCACGCGCAAUACAAUAAUAUUUGAUAUUAUAAGGGAUAAUAUAAUGUAAGAUAUAUUUGAACAUGGAAUUGCUAGUAAAUUUUAUUUAAUAAGUAGAAUUGAAUGAGUCCCUGUUCUUUGUACACACCGCCCGUCGCUAUCUAAGAUGGUAUUAUCUAUGAACAAAUU
rnacentral:rRNA from 1 species